rnacentral:lncRNA from 1 species
AUGAGGGCGGCCGCGUAUCGUGCGCACGGAAUAGGAACAACGUGUCCUUCUAGAACGGGUGUUCUGUCCUAGAACGAUGACGGGAGCGACAGCGAGAAUGGGCGCGCCGGUGGUGGGAAGCCGAUCGUGCGUCCGUCGACGAGCCUGGCCCGUCGUGUGUGCCGAUCGACGAAGACCCGCAGCGUGCCCGUCAAGAACGGCGGCGCGAGCAGAACCGGGAAUGUCGGCGCCGGCGGCAGGACGCCGCCAAGGCCCGUCGUCGCUAUCCCCUGCCCGGGGACGAUCUGCAGCGUGCGCGUGACGAGCAGGCACGCGAACAGCACCAGGAACGUGAGCACCGGAGGCGGCAAACUGGCGAGACGCGGGCGGCGGACGCCGCUCGUAAACGGAAAGCCCGUGACGACCCCGAAUACCGCGAGGCUGAGAACGCAAAACGCCGACGAUGGUGCUACAAAUACCUCGGAACGUUUCCCCGGUGUGUGGAGUAUGUGGCCGUCUCUGGUUCGCGGGCAAUUUGACUAGCUUGUAUACGGUUCGCGACGCUGGGCAGCGCGAGUGUGCGGUGACGGCGUUGCGACCGCGAUCGACGAUGUGUCAUCGGAGUGCGUCUCUAACGUGCGUGUGUGUGGGACGUGCCGCUUCGCUACCGUGAACGGUACCUUCGUGGCCAGGCACCUUUUCUGAUCAGACCAGGGGCGAGUCCAAGGCAAAGGAAUACCAUGCUCAAGCGGUGCAGGCAACGCCACGUUUGAGGCCAAUAGGAGUGCAAGCUUCUUGUUCACUGUCCGACAUCGGUACACAAACAGUCCGCUGUGAAAGUGGCUGUCGUGGAAAUGUCACCUUGACCAUCUGAUGGAUCCCUGCACCUCAUGACCCUAAAUGGUGGCUUGACAUCUCGGAGUACUGCGGACGACCUUUAUCUGCCCAAUUCUUGUCUGAAAGGGUGAUGGCUGGCUGGCCUGUGAUUCAGCUGUCGCUCUGCCCCAGCAGGUGCAGUGAGGUAGUGUCCACUUAACCAUUGUUCAUGGGAAUCAAAGCCUGGAACUUCCACCUGUGCUAGGCAUGACCGUGAGAGCGAGAGUCCAGAAGAUCUCUGCAGGACAGCGCAAGUGUUAUGCUCGGUGUGAAACAAGAGUGCCAGCGCAGCUACGGUGAUGAAGACAUAGCGGAAGUCCGACAUGACCCCUUAAUUGCCCCUCAUUUCCUAAAGGAAUGGGACAGUACCGACUGAACGAUAUCCAAGACACCCAUCACAUGAGUGAAGGGGGUUAACCACAUCCUCCAAGCCAUUCCGCACUGUGCAACAGUCACUGUGCCAAAGAAACCAAAAUGUGAAUGUCUCUUUUUCAGGUGAAAGGCAUCUCCAGAGGUACAAGUUUGAAGUACUGCACGUGCUGACCAGCUGCAGGCCACCUAGGAAUGAGGGGGGGGGGGGGGGGAAGCAUCUGUUAUAAUAAAG